AACGAACGCUGGCGGCAUGCCUAACACAUGCAAGUCGAACGAGACCUUCGGGUCUAGUUGCGCACGGGUGCGUAACGCGUGGGAACCUGCCCUUAGGUUCGGAAUAACUCCCCGAAAGGGGUGCUAAUACCGGUUAAUGUCUUCGGACCAAAGAUUUAUCGCCUUUGGAUGGGCCCGCGUUGGAUUAGCUAGUUGGUAGGGUAAAAGCCUACCAAGGCGACGAUCCAUAGCUGGUCUGAGAGGAUGAUCAGCCACACUGGGACUGAGACACGGCCCAGACUCCUACGGGAGGCAGCAGUGGGGAAUAUUGGACGAUGGGCGAAAGCCUGAUCCAGCAAUGCCGCGUGAGUGAUGAAGGCCUUAGGGUUGUAAAGCUCUUUUACCCGGGAUGAUAAUGACAGUACCGGGAGAAUAAGCUCCGGCUAACUCCGUG
rnacentral:rRNA from 1 species